UGGGGGAUUGUCUAAUGGCAGGACAGUGGACUCUGAAUCCAUAAGUCCAGGUUCAAAUCCUGGUCCCCCAG
rnacentral:tRNA from 1 species